UCCUGUUUAACCUAUAGGAGGUCCAGCCUGCCCAGUGACUCUGUUUAACGGCCGCGGUAUCCUAACCGUGCGAAGGUAGCGUAAUCACUUGUUCUUUAAAUGAGGACUAGUAUGAAUGGCAUCACGAAGGUUAUACUGUCUCCUUUUCCUAAUCAGUGAAACUAAUCUUCCCGUGAAGAAGCGGGAAUAAACCUAUAAGACGAGAAGACCCUAUGGAGCUUCAAACUUUUCAGCAAUUAUCUUCACUUUUACAAACUCCCUGAACAAUAAAAUUAAUCCAGAUAACAUGUCUGCAAGUUUUCGGUUGGGGUGACCACGGAGCAAAACUUACCCUCCGCAAUGAAUUAGAAUUCCAUUUCUAAACAAAGAAUUACAAUUCUAUGUAUCAAAAAAUUGACACAAUUGACCCAAUACUUUGAUCAACGAACCAAGUUACCCUAGGGAUAACAGCGCAAUCCAUCUCAAGAGCUCUUAUCGACAGAUGGGUUUACGACCUCGAUGUUGGAUCAGGGUAUCCCAGUGGUGCAGCCGCUACU
rnacentral:rRNA from 1 species